GGGCAUUCCCAAGUGCAUUGUUGAAGUUAUUGAGCCAGUGAUUGAUGACCUGAGCAAGGCUGAGCUUCUACAAAAGUGCACUCAUGGCUUGACUCAAAAUGUAAAUGAGUGUCUCAAUGGGCUAAUUUGGGAUCGAUGUCCUAAAACCACCUAUGUGGAACAGGAAACUGUAGCAUUGGCAACUUAUUUGGCAGUGCUUAAAUUUAAUGAUGGAGACAUCUCCUAUUUGAAGAUAUUUGAAGACCUGGACAUAAAGCCUGGGAUGUUCACCUGCCAAGGUGCUCAAAAAUGUGACCAAUCUCGGAUCCGUUUAUCGGCUAAGAAAUCCAAAGAGACAGUCAAGAGUAGG